rnacentral:misc_RNA from 1 species
UAUGAAGAACGUAGCGAAAUGCGAUAAGUAAUGUGAAUUGCAGAAUUCCGUGAAUCAUCGAAUCUUUGAACGCACAUUGCGCCCUCUGGUAUUCCGGGGGGCAUGCCUGUCCGAGCGUCAUUUGCAACCCUCAAGCCCGGCUUGUGUGAUGGGUGCCGUCCCCUACGGGACGCGCCCCGAAGGCAAUGGCGGCGUCGCGGUUAUCCGAUCAGCCAAAGUGUAUGGGGCUUUGUCACUCACUUUACGGCCCGGACCGGCGCCAGUCCGAAUCAAUCUUUUUUCUAAAGUUGACCUCGGAUCAGGUAGGGAUACCCGCUGAACUUAAGCAUAUCAAUAAGCGGAGGA